rnacentral:rRNA from 1 species
CCUACGGGUGGCAGCAGUAGGGAAUAUUGCUCAAUGGGGGAAACCCUGAAGCAGCAACGCCGCGUGGAGGAUGAAGGUUUUCGGAUUGUAAACUCCUUUUUUUAGAGAAGAUAAUGACGGUAUCUAACGAAUAAGCACCGUCUAACUCCGGUCCAGCAGCCGCGGUAAUACGGAGGGUGCAAGCGUUACUCGGAAUCACUGGGCGUAAAGGGCGCGUAGGCGGGAUAGCAAGUCAGAUGGGAAAUCCUAGGGCUUAACCAUAGAACUGCAGUUGAAACUAGUAUUCUAGAGUAUGGGAGAGGUAGGUGGAAUUCGUGGUGUAGGGGUAAAAUCCGUAGAGAUCAAGAGGAAUACUCAUUGCGAAGGCGACCUGCUAGAACAUAACUGACGCUGAUGCGCGAAAGCGUGGGUAGCAAACAGGAUUAGAUACCCGAGUAGUC